AUCUCCUUGGGUCCCUAUGUGACUGGCUGCAGAAACUGCUCAGUGUCAGGAGAGGGCAAUUCUUGCAGUCUGGCCUGCUUGGACCUACACGCCCGCCUUACACAGGCCUUAUAGAACAGAUCGUGUGUGUCCUCCUUGCGAAGGUCGUGGUGUUGAUGAUUUCUUUGGAGUCCUUCAGCACAGAGACCACAGGCUCAUCAAGACCCCCAGGUUCCAGGGCGUAAGUGACUUAUGGAGGACACCUACACAUUCGUAUUUGUUCCUGGAUGCCUGAGAAGACACGUGCACGGUACCACAACCCUCAAGAGAAACCCCAGACCCCGAGUAAAGAUGGGACUCACUCUCUUUUCCCUUCUGAGUCUCCCAGACACUCUGUGUGUACACUCCACAUCUUCAGUCAACUCUGCUCUCACUUCUCCUUGGCUUACACAUGAUUUCUAUCCUGCCUGAAGCCAAGGACUCCCCUCUGAGUCCUCAGACCCAGCCAGCCUGCAUCAAAGCUACGAAGCUUGCAUCAAAGCUACAUUUCAGGGGCAGGUAGAAAGGAAAGCCCCAGAGAAGACCGACAAGGGAUGAUUAGAAUGGUAAGAGGGAAAAAAAAAAAAAGGAGAGAAGGCACAGAAGCCAAAGGCGGGGAGAAUU